CUAAAAUGUGCUGUUUUGCACAUGGCUGUGCGAAGUUGAUGGAUAAUGGCAGGAACUGGAACACGCUGUUGUAUACGCCGAUCCAGAGCAUCCCAAACAUGCUCAAUGGGUGACAUGUCCGGAGAAAUGCAAAGGAAAGAAAGCAGCACUUAUUGUUGAAGAAGACCUGGGCUUGGAUCUCUCUACAUGAUUCUGCCUCUCUAUUGCCAGCAUCUUGGAUCUCCUAAACAGAAAAACAUGAAACUUCUGAUUUUGCUUUUUAUCGCACUUAUGUUGCGAAAAUGGAAUUUCCAAACCUUAUUAAAUCAUGAAUUCACUGUGAUUAA